GGGUGUUGUCUGCAUGGAGCAGUGACAGGUUGAGCGAUGGUCGGGCCACCACG
rnacentral:ncRNA from 2 species